rnacentral:rRNA from 1 species
CCUACGGGAGGCAGCAGUGAGGAAUAUUGGUCAAUGGCCGUAAGCCUGAACCAGCCAAGUCGCGUGAAGGAAGACGGAUCUAUGGUUUGUAAACUUCUUUUAUAGGGGAGUAAAGGUAUCCACGUGUGGAUAUUUGCAUGUCCCCUAUGAAUAAGCAUCGGCUAAGUCCGUGCCAGCAGCCGCGGUAAUACGGAGGGGCCGAGCGUUAAUCGGAAUUACUGGGCGUAAAGGGCUCGGAGGCGGGAUGUCAAGUCAAGAGUUAAAUCCCCGCGCUCAAAGUGGGAACUGCCGUUGAAACUGGCAAACUGGAGUGUGUGAGAGGAUAGUGGAAUUCCAGGUGUAGGAGUGAAAUGCGUAGAUAUCUGGAGGAACAUCAGUGGCGAAGGCGACUAUCUGGCACAUAACUGACGCUGAGGAGCGAAAGCGUGGGUAGCAAACAGGAUUAGAUACCCGAGUAGUC